AUUGGUGAUGAUAGCUAAGUGGAAACACCUCUUCCCAUCUCGAACAGAGCAGUUAAGCACUUACACGCCGACGAUAGUUGAAUAAGCUAAAAUAGGUAAUUGCCAAUA
rnacentral:rRNA from 1 species